GCAGUAGCCGCGGUAAUACGGAGGGGGCUAGCGUUGUUCGGAAUUACUGGGCGUAAAGCGCACGUAGGCGGCUUGGUAAGUUAGAGGUGAAAGCCCGGAGCUCAACUCCGGAAUUGCCUUUAAGACUGCCGAGCUAGCAGGUGAGAGAGGUAAGUGGAAUUCCGAGUGUAGAGGUGAAAUUCGUAGAUAUUCGGAAGAACACCAGUGGCGAAGGCGGCUUACUGGCUCAUACUGGACGCUGAGGUGCGAAAGCGUGGGGAGCAAACAGGAUUAGAUACCCCUGUAGUCCCUGUCUCUUAUAA
rnacentral:rRNA from 1 species